AUCUGCACACUAAAACGUAUCUAGAGAUAUACAUAUCUAGAAAAAUCUGCAAUAAAUAUUUCUAGAGGGAGAGAGCAUUAAAGUUCAAUUCUCUCUUUUCAUAAUUAUACUGACAUUAAUGGUGUACAAUAAUUUCAGCAUUUCUUUUUUACUCGCACGGCUAUAACUUGGAUCCACAUUAUUAAUCAUUCAUAUUUUCAUAGAUUUCUUAAAUUAAUAUAAAAGAUCCUAGAUGAUAUUUAAUUAAUAAAGUACUCUAUAAAAAUCCUAGAGGAGUAAUAGAUGUGCAUUGAUAUCACAUCCUCUAUAAAAGGGUUGCCAUUUUAUUUGUUCCCUUUCACAAACUACAGGUCAUACCGUCAAGAUCACCAUUUCCUAUCAACGACAGAUUUAGCUAAGAUGAGGACUACCCUAAUGUUCCUAACCCUCAUCCUGCUCAUGCUAUCAUCAUCAGAUGCUAGACCAGAAGCAUGUAGGAGGAUAUAUGUUCCGACACAUGGUCCAUGCAAUUCCACCAAUUGCGAGAAUGCAUGCCGCACUGUGAACAAUGAGGGUGUGUUAUGUCACGGGGGCUGCAUGUUGAAGGCUAUAUGCGAUAUUAAGCGGGGGAAUUCGUGCCUCUGCAAGUUAUGCAUGUAAAUAGUAUUGAUGCACUUGGCGUGCCUAAAUAGGAUAGAACCACAUGCCUUUUAAAUAAUGAAGAUGUUGACUCUUAACAAGAGAUUGCCAUAAGCUUGGACUUGGUACGCUUUCCAAAGAUAUACAAUAUGAAAUUAUUAAGUGAGCUU